rnacentral:misc_RNA from 1 species
AUUUUCUAACCGGCCUCGAGAAAGUUACUUUACCCCUUCCCUUUGCUCGUUUGUGCAAGGGCAAGAUGUUGACCUAAGUGUUAGAAGGGUUGCACGUUCUGGUUCUUCUGAAUUUGAAUUUCUGGUCAGUAUCGCUGGAUUCAUCCUAUAAUUGACUAAAUUGGUGGCCACUGAGGAAGGUGUUGAUCGGUUUAUUGUUUACAGUUCAUUUUCAUUACUGAUUUUACGAGUGUCUUUCUUUUUUCCUUGGUUCUGUAACUCUCUUUCCUUUGAUAACUUUCUUCUGGUUCGUUCUUAGCUCAAUCCAGUGGGCAAAAUGCACCUUUAACUCAGAAUCUGGGGAACGAUCGAUAGACGUUGCCACCAUCUAAUUAAUCUAUUUUCGGCCGCAAAACACCAAAAAGUGCAGGCAUGGCUGAGAUGACUGGGUUAAUAAUGAAGGGAGCUGUGGCGCUAGGAUCAGCUGCAGUUGCAGGCAAGUUGUACGAAGACGGGAGAAGCUUGAUUGGUCCUUCACUUGGCGAAAUGAAGGAGCUUGCACAAGAUAUAGAAGCAAAUUAUCAAAUGAUGAAAGGCACUGCUGAAUUACUGAAAGGUAAGAGAGAGGAUAUAUUGGGCAAAAUAAAGAGUGAGAAGGAACAUGAGUCUACAGAUGAAUGUAAUGCGUGGAUUAAUAGGGCCAAAGAACUUGAAGCUGGGGUGCAGAUUCUGGAUUCCAAGUAUUCCACUGAAAAAGAUAAAGGGCUUUGGAGUUUCGAUUUAAGCAAAGCCCUGAAAAAGAAACUUGAGGAACUGCGACAAUGGUUGGAAGAGGGGAGGAAAAUAGUAGUAUCGGUGGAGAGAAAACCACCACGCAUUAUUAGAGUUCCGGCACCAAAAAUAGAAGAUAAGUCGUCACUCAAUGCAAUUUUUGAAAAGAUGACAGCCUGUUUUCGAGAUGAUCAAGUAAAAAUAAUUGGACUUUGGGGGAAGGUAGGAGUUGGGAAAACAGCAAUCAUGGAAAAUUUGAACAAUAGUAAACAAGCUGAAGAGUUUGAUAUAGUCAUUUUUGCUACUCUACCUGACGAAAUGAACCAAGAAAAUUCGAAAGACGAAAUGAAUAAAGAAAAAUUGAACUGUGAAAAUGAAGAGUUAAAGCUCAAAGCUCUGGAGUUGGAAAAAGAAAAGUUGAGGGAGCUAAAGCUCAAAGCUCUGGAAUUGGCAAAAGAAAAGUUGAGACAGGAAAUCGCUGGACGGCUCAAGUUGAAAAUAGAAGGUAUGACCAAACAUGACAUAAAUUUUAGAAUAUCAGAAGAGUUGAAAGACAAGAAGUAUUUGUUUCUUCUCGAUGAUGUAUGGGAUAUAUUGGACCUAGGUGAUAUCGGCAUCUGCAGCAACAAGGGCAGCAAGGUGAUAUUAACAUCAAGAAAGCAAAAUAUUUGUUGGGGUAUGGAUAUUGAUGCGAUUGAAGAGCUGAAACCACUGCCAAUAAAAGAAGCGGUUGCACUAUUCAAAGAAAAACUGGGUACAAAAGGCAAGCAUCUAGAAUUUAGAGGAGUUGCUGAGCCAGUUGUUAAGCAAUGUUCAUGUUUGCCACUCUUAAUAGAAAAAGUAGCAGGGUUUUUCAAACAGAAAGACUCCAAGAAUUGGCGGAAAUUGCUUGAGAAGUUUCAAACAUGGGAUUAUUAUGAUGUUGACGGCAUGGUUGAAGUCCUCAAUAAAUUUAGAUUUUGUUUUGAAGAAUUAGAUCGUGAGGAUAAAAAGCUUUGCUUUCUCUAUUGUGCAUUACACACAGAAGGUUACGAAAUUUCCACCAAUCAUUUGGUAGAAUGCUGCAAAGCCGAAAAAUUCAUUCUUGAUGUGGCUAGUGGGCAUCUAAUAGUGGGUGAUCUAAUUGAUGCAUCUUUGCUGGAGAAAGAUGAGAAGAAGAAAUGUCUAAAGAUGAACAAAGUGCUUCGAAAUAUGGCGCUGAAGAUCUCAUCAGAAUGGGAAGAUUUGAAGUUUUUGGUAAAAGCUGGUGGAUUAGAAGAGCUGCUGAGUGAUAAGCAAUGGGAAGAGGCGAAACGGAUCUCUUUGAUGGACAACAGUCAUAGAUUGAGCUCCUUACCGGAAAAACUUAAUUGCAUCAAUCUCUCAACAUUGUUUCUACAAAGAAAUUUGGCAUUAACAGCAAUUCCUGAUAAAUUCUUUGAAUCUAUGCAAAAACUACGAGUUCUAGACCUCCAUGGCACCAGAGUCAAAAAAUUACCAUCUCCAUUUUGCUUGGAAGGUUUGGAAGUGCUUUACCUAAGUUGUUGUGACCAAUUGUUGGAACUCCCCUCUGAAAUGAUACUUCAGAAUCUAGAGGUUCUUGACAUUCGGGGCACCGGCAUUUAUUGUUUGCCAAUCCAAAUUCGCCAAAUGAAAAAGCUGCGGUGCUUACGCAUGUCAUUUUCAAGGUAUGAUGUAGAAUCAGGCAAGGAGGAAGAACAUCAGGGUGUCAUCUCCAAUCUCUCUUUGCUGGAAGAAUUAGUCAUUGAAGUGAAAGCACAGAAUCGGUGGUGGAACAAUGUUGUAAAACAUAUAACAAGAGAGGUGUCUAGGUUGACAAAAUUAACUUCUCUUUCAUUUUGCUUUCAUGAUGUGGAAUCUUUUAAGAGCUUUGUUCAUAAUACUGAGCUAUGGCAAGAUCCCAACUUCACAUUCCAAUUUUGUGUCGGUCAGCAUGACUCAACCAGGCGCUUGAAAUCUGCAAAUGGUGAAAAUAUAGAUAAUGCAAUAACAAUAUCAAGGUUGAUUGUUGUAAGCAAUGAUACAUUAGAACUAAUUGGCCACAAGGGAGCUUUGAGCCUAUCAGACUUUGGCAUUGAGAAUAUUAAUGAGUUGAAGUGCUGCAUAAUUGAAGGGUGCAAUGAGAUUCUAACAGUUAUUGAUGCUCGUGGAACCAUGGAAAGUGUGCUAACUCGCUUGGAGAGGAUUUACAUUAGCAAUGUCCCAAUGUUGGAAAGUAUUUGGGAGGGCCAUGUACCAGAUGGAAGCCUAGCACAGCUUACUGUUCUUUGUUUAUCUGAAUGUUCAAAGCUGACGAAGAUAUUCUCCCCUGCCAUGAUUAAACAGCUUUCUAAACUUCAACACUUGCAAAUUGAAGAUUGUCCUGAAAUUGAGCAGAUAAUUGUGGAAUCUGAGAAUAAUGGGUCGGAACCUUUAGAGCUACCUAGUUUGACAGAAUUGGUGCUUCAGGACCUGCCAAAACUAACAAGCAUUUGGAAGGAGAAUCCAUUGAGUUGCCCUUCUUUAAGGGCAACUAAGAUUAUCAACUGUGAUAAAUUGAAGAGCGUUCUUAUUGCCUAAAAUAAUCAUUAAACCGGCUGCAUCUUCAAUUGUUAUUUCAAGGUUUCAGCUGCAGACUGAUUAGCAGGGCUCAUUUUCUUCCUUUGGGAUGCAUGUAUUUGAUAGGUCUCUACUUGUUUGGCUUCUAUACUUCUCCACGAAACACCAAUGGUGUUUUUUUCCAGACUAUUUGUUGUGUAUUGCUAUGUAAUGUCGAUCUUGAACUGCUUGUCAGUACUGUAUGUGUGAUUGUGUAUAUUGUGAGUGUUAUCCUGAUGUGAGACUGAAUCAUUGUGAUUACUGCUUAUCAAAGAACUAGUUCUUUAAGUAAUUGAUGUUUGCG